rnacentral:rRNA from 1 species
UACGGGGGGGGUAAGCGUUGUUCGGAAUUACUGGGCGUAAAGGGCUCGUAGGCGGCCAACUAAGUCAUACGUGAAAUCCCUCAGCUUAACUGGGGAACUGCGUCUGAUACUGGAUGGCUGGAGUUUGGGAGAGGGAUGCGGAAUUCCAGGUGUAGCGGUGAAAUGCGUAGAUAUCUGGAGGAACACCGGUGGCGAAGGCGGGUCUCUGGGCAACUACUGACGCUGAGGAGCGAAAGCGUGGGGAGCGAACAGG